GUGUGCAGAAUAUUAAAUGUCAAAUGCAAAUAUGAAAAUGGAGCUACAUGGUUGCAGAUAGUCCCUAAUUGAUAUUGAGCAGACUAUUCCCUUUAAAUGUUAAUGAAACUGUUGUAAUUACUAAAUGACCAAAACAGCUCAGAAGCCAGGGUUCACAGCUGUAAACCAUUACUUGUAAAUUACUGGCACAGCCCCGCAUUAGCAGAUGGCUCGGCCCAUGGAAGAAAACUUCCUCAAGAUGCUUUUCUUCCAGGCCUGGGCUCAGGAGCAAAUUAGAUGAGCAUAUUAGAGAAGGCCAGAGUGCCUGUUUGGACAUGUCGCUGGCGAUAAACACCUUCUUUGAUCUUCUUAUUUUUUUCAUUACAUUCUUUGCAGAAAGUGCUGAAUAUCACAGAAUACAAAGAAAAGAGAAGGCGAAACUGACAGAGCUUAUAAACAUAGCAGGAAAGUUCAGAUAUGCACAUUUCUGCUGGAGUUUUAAGGAGCAGUGUGUUUCCUACAUCCUGAAGCAGAUGAACUUGAUGGGAUGGAGGAGGAAUAAAGAUUCCUGCCGAAGGACAAUGGUCUCAUUUCUUCAUCUUCCCACCAAAAACCAGAGAGCCCAGCCCACAGGUGCAAGAUAUACUUUGAAUGAGUAUAUGUCAAUGGAAUUUGAAUCCAAGAUGAGAGCGUUUCAUGGUUCAUUCUUCUUACAGUUAAGAGUAUGA
rnacentral:lncRNA from 1 species